UACGUAGGGUGCGAGCGUUAAUCGGAAUUACUGGGCGUAAAGCGUGCGCAGGCGGUUUUGUAAGCCAGAUGUGAAAGCCCCGGGCUUAACCUGGGAAUGGCAUUUGGGACUGCAAGGCUUGAGUGCGGCAGAGGAGACUGGAAUUCCUGGUGUAGCGGUGAAAUGCGUAGAUAUUGGGAGGAACACCAGUAGCGAAGGCGGCACUCUGGGCCUGUACUGACGCUGAGGAGCGAAAGCGUGGGGAGCGAACAGG
rnacentral:rRNA from 1 species